rnacentral:snRNA from 1 species
GUGCUUGCUUCAGCAGCACAUAUACUAAAAUUGGAACAAUAUAAGCAAGCUUAUGACUCCCGAACAAGAUGACAUGCAGAUUCAUGAAACAUUCUGUGUUUUU